GAUUAAAAACCUUUUCUGCCUACACGUAAAAAUGACAAAGAUCAAAAAGAUACAUGUAUGAAGUGGAAAUGAUCCAGCAAAUUAAAUAUCGUUCUCUUCUUUAAAAACAAUGAAAUUUACUUUAUUCAUUUGAUCACAGCCCUGCAGUUAAUUGCCUUGAUUGCCUAAGAAUACAUGCAAGGACACUAAUAUAUGAUGUUUCACCCAUAUAAAUAUGCAUGGGAAGAGAGAUGCUCACAAUCUGACAUCAAACCUAGCACACAAUAAGAAACACCAAUACAACACCAUCAUGAUAAUAGAGAACAUGUUUCCUUUUUCACUGGAUAAAAUAAAUAAUAAAAGAAAGCACAAUAACAUAAGGCUAAACAUAAUCUAUGAGAUAUUCCAAGUUUUAAUAAAUAACUAGUCAUUUUGCCCACAUAACUUUUUAUUUUAACAAUAUAAUUUAAUAUUUAUUUUUUCAAAAUUUUAUAGUUCAAAAU
rnacentral:misc_RNA from 1 species